CUGAAGUGUGAUGAUGCUUAUCCACAUUAUCUGUAGAGUUUCAAUGAUGAAUUCAAAUACAUGCACUACCAUCUGAUCUUAU
rnacentral:snoRNA from 1 species